CCCACACAUUAGUGUGAACUAGUUUCAGUAGGGCUGCAUACAGGCUGAACUGCUGGCAAACUAUACUCUCCUCUGCUUUUUCAUCUGGUAUGGCUCACAUAUCUCUGAAAUAUCUCCAUCUACAUUUGAAAUCAGACCAUGCUUGCUCAGCUCCUUCAUCCUAUGAUCUCCUAUGUGGCCAAGGCGGUAGUGCCACAACCAGUGAGUCCCCUGCUGGUCCUGCGCUGCUGCUGCUACAUCAGAUUUUUUAGUCAUCAC
rnacentral:lncRNA from 1 species